rnacentral:rRNA from 1 species
AGAGUUUGAUCCUGGCUCAGGAUGAACGCCGGCGGUGUGCCUAAUACAUGCAAGUCGUACGCACUGGCCCAACUGAUUGAUGGUGCUUGCACCUGAUUGACGAUGGAUCACCAGUGAGUGGCGGACGGGUGAGUAACACGUAGGUAACCUGCCCCGGAGCGGGGGAUAACAUUUGGAAACAGAUGCUAAUACCGCAUAACAAUAAAAGCCGCAUGGCUUUUAUUUGAAAGAUGGCUUUGGCUAUCACUCUGGGAUGGACCUGCGGUGCAUUAGCUAGUUGGUAAGGUAACGGCUUACCAAGGCGAUGAUGCAUAGCCGAGUUGAGAGACUGAUCGGCCACAAUGGAACUGAGACACGGUCCAUACUCCUACGGGAGGCAGCAGUAGGGAAUCUUCCACAAUGGGCGCAAGCCUGAUGGAGCAACACCGCGUGAGUGAAGAAGGGUUUCGGCUCGUAAAGCUCUGUUGUUGGAGAAGAACGUGCGUGAGAGUAACUGUUCAUGCAGUGACGGUAUCCAACCAGAAAGUCACGGCUAACUACGUGCCAGCAGCCGCGGU